AGCUUGAACGCUGGCGGCGUGGCUAAGACAUGCAAGUCGAACGGGUGUAGCAAUACACCAGUGGCGGACGGGUGAGUAAUGUAUCGCUAACGUGCCCUAGAGCUAGGGAUAGCUGUCCGAAAGGACAGGUAAUACCUGAUGAUAUACCUUUGUCGCAUGACGAAGUUCUCAAAGCAGUAAUGCAC
rnacentral:rRNA from 1 species